rnacentral:rRNA from 1 species
AUUGAACGCUAGCGGGAUGCCUUACACAUGCAAGUCGAACGGAGUGGCGAACGGGUGAGUAAUGUAUAGGAACGUGCCCAGUAGCGGGGGAUAACUACGCGAAAGCGUAGCUAAUACCGCAUACUAUUGGAGCGGCCGAUAGCGGAUUAGGUAGUUGGUGGGGUAACGGCUCACGAAGGCGACGAGCCGUAGAGGGUUUGGGUGGGAGACCCGACACACUGGGACUGAGACACGGCCCAUACUCCUACGGGAGGCAGCAGUGUGGAAUUUUGGACAAUGGGGGAAACCCUUAUCCAGCCAUCCCGCGUGUGCGAUGAAGGCCUUCGGGUUGUAAAGCACUUUUGGCAGGAAAGCGGUACCUGCAGAAUAAGCACCGGCUAACUACGUGCCAGCCGCCGCGGUAAUAC